rnacentral:rRNA from 1 species
GGGCCCGCACAAGCGGUGGAGCAUGUGGUUUAAUUCGAUGCAACGCGAAAAACCUUACCUACCUUUGACAUCCUAGGAAUCUCUUAGUGAUAAGAGAGUGCCUUCGGGAACCUGGAGACAGGUGCUGCAUGGCUGUCGUCAGCUCGUGUCGUGAGAUGUUGGGUUAAGUCCCGUAACGAGCGCAACCCUCAUCCUUAGUUGCCAGCGCAUAAUGGCGGGGACUCUAAGGAAACUGCCGGUGACAAACCGGAGGAAGGUGGGGAUGAUGUCAAGUCAUCAUGGCCCUUACAGGUAGGGCUACACACGUGCUACAAUGGGCAGUACAGAGGGUCGCAAAGCCGCGAGGUGGAGCUAAUCCCAAAAAGCUGCUCUCAGUCCGGAUUGGAGCCUGCAACUCGGCUCCAUGAAGUCGGAAUCGCUAGUAA